CCGAGUUUACAACUCCCAAAACCCAAUGUGAACCAUACCAAACUGUUGCCUCGGCGGGGUCACGCCCCGGGUGCGUCGCAGCCCCGGAAACCAGGCGCCCGCCGGAGGGACCAACCAAACUCUUUUCUGUAGUCCCCUUCGCGGACGUUAUUUCUUACAGCUCUGAGCAAAAAUUCAAAAUGAAUCA
rnacentral:misc_RNA from 1 species